GUCGGCUACUCGUCAUUGUUUACGUUUCGACACGAUCAUCGGUUCGCGAAACCGUGAUCAAUAUUUACCCUUUCGCGAUCGCGGAUAAUUUUCGGUUCGGUUCGUCCGCGUAAAAUGACACAAAAUUGUGUCCUGCCGUAGAAAGUUCCCGGGUUGUAUACGGAUCAUCGAUUCGUGGUUCAUUUUCCGGUCGUUUUUCACUUGUACUGUCGUGGAAUCGGCGGGGAAGAGAACUUCCUCAGACGGAGGCAAUUAUGUGAUGAACCUGUCUCAUUCCAUUCAACGCCAUCCGCGUCCGGACAACUGAAUGUAUCGCUAUUUGGAUCGUUCACCGAAUGUUUCCUGCGAUGCUGUGGGAAUCGUCAGCUGACUGCUUCGAGCUGGUCCCGAUCGAGGAUGCUAUCACCGGACAUCAUCUGUUCCUCCGAAUGGAAUCUGGAUGUCGGCUUCGAAAAAGUGAAGUGUACUCUCAGGCCAUGGUCAUGACCCGAGCAAAAGUGAAUCAUUCAUAACUCUCGCUGUAAAUUAACAGGAGAAAAUUGAUUCAUGUAAUAAACGAUGAUUUUGUUUGUUUGUUUCUCUUUUGUUGGAAAGAUUU